AACGAACGCUGGCGGCAUGCCUAACACAUGCAAGUCGAACGAGACCUUCGGGUCUAGUGGCGCACGGGUGCGUAACGCGUGGGAACCUACCCUUAGGUUCGGAAUAACUCCCCGAAAGGGGUGCUAAUACCGGAUAAUGUCUUCGGACCAAAGAUUUAUCGCCUUUGGAUGGGCCCGCGUUGGAUUAGCUAGUUGGUAGGGUAAAAGCCUACCAAGGCGACGAUCCAUAGCUGGUCUGAGAGGAUGAUCAGCCACACUGGGACUGAGACACGGCCCAGACUCCUACGGGAGGCAGCAGUGGGGAAUAUUGGACAAUGGGCGACAGCCUGAUCCAGCAAUGCCGCGUGAGUGAUGAAGGCCUUAGGGUUGUAAAGCUCUUUUACCCGGGAUGAUAAUGACAGUACCGGGAGAAUAAGCUCCGGCUAACUCCGUG
rnacentral:rRNA from 1 species